GAUGAACGCUGGCGGCGUGCCUAAUACAUGCAAGUCGAGCGAACGGACGAGAAGCUUGCUUCUCUGAUGUUAGCGGCGGACGGGUGAGUAACACGUGGAUAACCUACCUAUAAGACUGGGAUAACUUCGGGAAACCGGAGCUAACACCGGUUAAUAUUUUGAACCGCAUGGUUCAAAAGUGAAAGACGGUCUUGCUGUCACUUAUAGAUGGAUCCGCGCUGCAUUAGCUAGUUGGUAAGGUAACGGCUUACCAAGGCAACGAUGCAUAGCCGACCUGAGAGGGUGAUCGGCCACACUGGAACUGAGACACGGUCCAGACUCCUACGGGAGGCAGCAGUAGGGAAUCUUCCGCAAUGGGCGAAAGCCUGACGGAGCCACGCCGCGUGAGUGAAGAAGGUCUUCGGAUCGUAAAGCUCUGUUAGUAGGGAAGAACAUAUGUGUAAGUAACUGUGCACGUCUUGACGGUACCUAAUCAGAAAGCAACGGCUAACUACGUG
rnacentral:rRNA from 1 species